rnacentral:rRNA from 1 species
UACGGAGGGUGCAAACGUUGCUCGGAAUUAUUGGGCGUAAAGCGCACGUAGGCGGCCGAAUAAGUCGGGUGUGAAAGCCCUGGGCUCAACCCAGGAAGUGCACUCGAAACUGCUCGGCUUGAGUAUGGAAGAGGGUUGCGGAAUUCCCGGUGUAGAGGUGAAAUUCGUAGAUAUCGGGAGGAACACCGGUGGCGAAGGCGGAUCUCUGGGCCUGUCCUGACGCUGAGGCGCGAAAGCUAGGGGAGCGAACAGG